UUUGUCGAACAUAUGUUUAUAUUUUAUCGGAUGUACUUAAUAGUUAAGGGUUUAAAAAUUAAAGUUAUUUGAAUUUCUCCCUAUUUUUUAAGCUUUAUCUGCAUAGAAGGAAACAAUAGAGAGAAAUAUGCUCGACGAUAAUCUGGUGAAAGACAAUCUAUACUGGAUGAACAAUGUAAUAAAAGGGACGAGGACUGCAUUUCUAAACUUAAAUAUUUUUGUUUUGAUUUUCACAGUCUGUUUUAUUCUUGGCUUAAGAAUUUUCAACCAUUAUAAAAGCCUUCAAAAGGCAGAAAAUGUUCAGCCAUUUGUUUCGGGUGUUUCAGGUGCAAGAACAUGAUCUUAAUACCAUAUUUUUAUCAAAGAAACGUAAAACAAGCCAAUAAAAAAAUUCAUAAUUUGUAAAA